rnacentral:rRNA from 1 species
UGGGGAUAUUGCACAAUGGGCGAAAGCCUGAUGCAGCGACGCCGCGUGGGGGAUGAAGGCCUUCGGGUUGUAAACUUCUUUUGCUCUGAACAAGGCAUGCUAAUGGGUGUGUUGAGUGUAGGGGAUGAUUAGCGCCGGCUAACUACGUGCCAGCAGCCGCGGUAAUACGUAGGGCGCGAGCGUUGUCCGGAAUUAUUGGGCGUAAAGGGCUUGUAGGUGGCUGGUUGCGUCUGUCGUGAAAGCUCAUGGCUUAACUGUGGGUUUGCGGUGGGUACGGGCUGGCUUGAGUGCAGUAGGGGAGGCUGGAAUUCCUGGUGUAGCGGUGGAAUGCGCAGAUAUCAGGAGGAAUACCGGUGGCGAAGGCGGGUCUCUGGGCUGUUACUGACACUGAGGAGCGAAAGCAUGGGGAGCUAACAGG